GGGUGGUUAGCUCCAUCUCCGAACGGACUCGCCACGCAUGGCGGAGGCGCGCCGAGAUCCGCGGCCUCCGACUAUGGUUAUUUGGGCCGCCAGCUUCGCCACGAGUAUAAGAAGUCAUACCUGCGCCUAGAUAUAUCCUCUCCACCACCGACGCCUUCAUCGCGUGAGCUUGCGCCGCACAGAUAGAAUAGAGAGAGAGAGAGAGAGAGAGAGCAUACGGGUGCGCCGCCGCGCCUCCUACUCGUUGCCAGCGCCGUCUGGGGCCUGGGCGGAGGUUACCCAGUCUUAUCGAAGGUGUGGGAACCGUGGGCGAGCGGAGAAACCAAUCGAGGCGGGCGGAACUCAUUGCCGUAAUUGAAGAUUCGUCGUGGGCCACACCAUUACGCGGGCAGGGUCACUGGUGCUCAAUACCGAG
rnacentral:lncRNA from 7 species